AUAAUGGGUCAGCGACUUAUAUUCUGUAGCAAGGUUAACCGAAUAGGGGAGCCGAAGGGAAACCGAGUCUUAACUGGGCGUUAAGUUGCAGGGUAUAGACCCGAAACCCGGUGAUCUAGCCAUGGGCAGGUUGAAGGUUGGGUAACACUAACUGGAGGACCGAACCGACUAAUGUUGAAAAAUUAGCGGAUGACUUGUGGCUGGGGGUGAAAGGCCAAUCAAACCGGGAGAUAGCUGGUUCUCCCCGAAAGCUAUUUAGGUAGCGCCUCGUGAAUUCAUCUCCGGGGGUAGAGCACUGUUUCGGCAAGGGGGUCAUCCCGACUUACCAACCCGAUGCAAACUGCGAAUACCGGAGAAUGUUAUCACGGGAGACACACGGCGGGUGCUAACGUCCGUCGUGAAGAGGGAAACAACCCAGACCGCCAGCUAAGGUCCCAAAGUCAUGGUUAAGUGGGAAACGAUGUGGGAAGGCCCAGACAGCCAGGAUGUUGGCUUAGAAGCAGCCAUCAUUUAAAGAAAGCGUAAUAGCUCACUGGUCGAGUCGGCCUGCGCGGAAGAUGUAACGGGGCUAAACCAUGCACCGAAGCUGCGGCAGCGACGCUUAUGCGUUGUUGGGUAGGGGAGCGUUCUGUAAGCCUGCGAAGGUGUGCUGUGAGGCAUGCUGGAGGUAUCAGAAGUGCGAAUGCUGACAUAAGUAACGAUAAAGCGGGUGAAAAGCCCGCUCGCCGGAAGACCAAGGGUUCCUGUCCAACGUUAAUCGGGGCAGGGUGAGUCGACCCCUAAGGCGAGGCCGAAAGGCGUAGUCGAUGGGAAACAGGUUAAUAUUCCUGUACUUGGUGUUACUGCGAAGGGGGGACGGAGAAGGCUAUGUUGGCCGGGCGACGGUUGUCCCGGUUUAAGCGUGUAGGCUGGUUUUCCAGGCAAAUCCGGAAAAU
rnacentral:rRNA from 1 species